rnacentral:lncRNA from 1 species
UUUCAAGUAGAAAAUGUAAGGAACUAUAUCUUUUUUUUUAAACAUUCACAAUUUGUUGUGAUCUGACGUCAUAACAACGCCUAUUGUUGUAUGACGUCAGAUGAGUGAAAUAACCGUCACGGUGUUUAGUCAUAUGUGAAACUAUCUGUUUUUAUUUCUCUGAUAAAUUAAUGUUAUUCAUUGCAACCAGUGUGAUAAACGUUUCCCCCG